GUUCCCUUUUAAGUUAAUCCCGAGAGGUUGACAAAGGUGGCAACUGCAACCGACAAAAAGACGGCUCGCGCCGUCGUCAUACCUUUUCGCUAUCUCGGCGAGGAGGUAUUUUUUU
rfam:Desulfuromonadales bacterium GWD2_61_12 gwd2_scaffold_939, whole genome shotgun sequence.